rnacentral:lncRNA from 1 species
CACAAAUUUACUAUAUAUAUACACACCCAACUAUCAAUUUACUUACCCUAUAUAUAUAUUCUCUAUAUAUAUAUCCUAUAUAUAUUAUAGAUAUAUAUAGUAGAUAUAUAGAGAUAUACAAAUAUAUAUACUUACUAUAUAUAUAGGGUAAGUAGAUAAAUAGAUAGGGUAAGUAGAUAGAUAAAUACACUUACUAUAUAUAUAUGUAUACACACACACA